GGACGACCCGCUCUACCUCCUGAGCCAUGCCGCUCUGUCACCAUUCGCCUCCGUCACCGUUUGCAGAGGCGCCGCACUUCCAGACUCGAAAAACUCCUUGAGGUCAGAUGUUGAACUGCAGCCUUUGAAGAAAUUAAAGCAGAUGCAUAAGGUCCUCUUCCCCAGACGAGAUCCUUGACAGCUUUGAUGACUUCUGCCAAAGACAAAGAGAUCGGGCAACAGGAACAAAUGUUGUGUGAAAGUUUGUUUUCAGCUAGAAUGAUGAGCCAGAAAAGAAUGAUGUGCUUUGCCUGGGAUGGGAAUAUAUCAAACAACAAUCAGAUCAAGCCUAAGAACAACAUUGGACCAGGACCUUUGUUUCCUUUUUUGUUGUCUUCUACUCUGUCUCUAUGUCAUUCUACCUUUCAAUAUACAAUUCUCUGUCCGAUAACGGGGAAGAAAUCUUUAAAAUAACUCAACAAAACUUUGA